GGAGAAGGACUGUUUUGUUUCUAUCUCCUUCUUUCCUGCUCGCGAACAUGUCAGGAGAGAAUGGGAUUGUUGGAGAGGUGUGGCUUGAGAGAUGUGGCUUGACAUCUUGAUGUGCUGACACGCUGAUGGUCACAAAGCAGAAAGAUGGAAGAUCAGCCCUGAGCUAACAUCUGCUGCCAAGCCUCCACUUUUUGCUGAGGAAGACUGGCCCUGAGCUAACAUCUGUGCCCAUCCUCCUCUACUUUAUAUGUGGGACGCCUACCACAGCAUGGCUUGCCAAGUAGUGCCAUGUCCGCACCAGGGAUCCGAAUUGGCGAAGCCUGGGCGCCAAAGUGGAACGUGCCAACUUAACCACUGCACCCCGGGCUGGCCCCCUAGACAUAGCUGUUAAUUAGGUAACUGAAAAGGUAGACCAGGACUCUGAGGUAUCAUGGAGGUAGCAACUGCAGGAAGCAGCCAACGCUCCUAGGGCUAGGGCGGCUAAAGGAAGAGAUUGAUGUUAGAACUUAGAAACUCAAAGGUGGUCUUGGCAGCUGGGACUCAGACCUCUGAGAAGCGGGUGAUACUCAGCUGGUGCUGGGUGUCUCUGAGGGGCCCCGUGAGGUUGGUUCUACAGGCCUUGAAGAAACUGCGAGCUGUUUUCAGCUGCUGCUGCAGGGCCUGCUGCUUCUGGGACCACGCUUAUAGGAACAGGAGAGAGAGGGAAGCAAACUGGAGGGAGCAAGUCCCUGCCUCCUCCUCCAGCCUCGCACUUGCUCUCUAACGCCCCCUAUUGGCAGGGCCUGGCAGGGAGCCGCUACAAAGCAGGAAUUUGGUUUGCGGAGUCCCAGCCACCAAGUCACAAAGCUGAGCACAGAAGCCCCGCCACCACGCACACACCUUGUAGACUCCUCCUUCAUUGCUGUGUCUGCCCUGUAGAAUACAGCUGUUGGACUUCACCCCCUCUCUCAGUGACAUGCCACGAUGGGGGAAACUGUUGCCUGCUCCUGGGAGCAAGCUGUUCUCUCUGCCAGUUGUCCAAACAAUGGAAAUUUCCAGGAUUCUUUGCUGCAGUUUUUCAAAGUUAAUGGACAUAGCUGACUUUUGAAAAAGCUAGCUGUUACCAGGGGCCAAGAGGAGUAUGAGAGAAAAAUGCUUACCUCCGGACUCUCCAAUGUGGAGGAAAAAUUCUGUCUAAAGAGAUGAGCAACAAUGACAAAAAUGCCCCCCUGCUCUUUAUAAAUCCUCAUUCUGGUUCUCACACCACAGGUUACCAGGACCCAGGUGGGAUGCUAAGACAGGGAGGCUAGACAGAACAAGAUAGGAUCU
rnacentral:lncRNA from 1 species